rnacentral:rRNA from 1 species
AUGGAUGGGGAGUUCCCGCGAUACAACAAUGCUAUGCACAAUGAUCUUGACGUCUUCAUGACAACUGAACACAACCACCUAUUCCAGAACAACCAUGAUGAUGAGAUGUAUGGUCUGCUUGGAGGCACUUCCAAUGCGGGAAAGAUUGAUAAUGCCAGCGAUGUUGCUGCAGACAAAGGAAACAACAAUGGAGAGACCCAUAGUGAGCAGAGGAUGGAGACAUGGCGUGCCAAUUAUCACCGUCUCCGCGGAGAACAAAUCCAACAACUUGAAGCGUACAAUACAUACUCAAUCAAUGUUUCUUAUGUCUUCGGGGAAUCCCCUUAUCCAGAUGAGAAACUCCGGAAGACCCUCAGCAUGAGGCUUGGCAUGAGUGCCCAACAGGUCAAGUUCUGGUUCCAAAACCAUUGCAGCUCCAGUAAGGGCAAGACGGUGAGGCGGGAGACCAGCAAUCUUCAGUUAGAGAAGCAGAUGCUAAAUUCAGAAAGGCAAGCCAUCAUAUCGGCUAUGGAAAAUAGCACUUGCCUCAAAUGCAGAGGGACAAUGGUACAAACUCAGGAUACAUCAGAGCGCCAGCGCUUGUUCAUGGAGAAUCUGAAGCUCAAGAAAGAACUUCUGCUUGCCAGGGACCAUCUUAUAGAGGGUCUCCACCAAAAUGGCAUGUGGCCCGUAUUGACCCGCAAAUAA